rnacentral:rRNA from 1 species
CAUUAUUGAAUUAAACCUGAUAAGUUGUUGCUGGUUCUCUAGGGACUCUGUGCACACUUGUCAUCUUUAUAUCUCCACCUGUGCACCUUUUGUAGACCUGGAUGUCUCUCCAAGUAGUGAUUUUUUGCACCUUGGGUUUUGAGGAUUGACUUUAUUGUCUCUACCUUACAUUUCUAGGUCUAUGUUUUUAUCAUAUACCCCAAUUUAUGUUAUAGAAUGUAAUACAUGGGACUUUGUGCCUAUAAACUUUAUACAACUUUCAGCAACGGAUCUCUUGGCUCUCGCAUCGAUGAAGAACGCAGCGAAAUGCGAUAAGUAAUGUGAAUUGCAGAAUUCAGUGAAUCAUCGAAUCUUUGAACGCACCUUGCGCUCCUUGGUAUUCCGAGGAGCAUGCCUGUUUGAGUGUCAUUAAUAUAUCAACCUCUUCAGCUUUUGCUUGUUUGAGUGUUGGAUGUGGGGGUGUCCUUUGUUGGCUUCUAUGAAGUCAGCUCCCCUCAAAUGUAUUAGCAGAAUAAUUUGUUAAUCCUGUUCAUUGGUGUGAUAAUUAUCUACGCUAUUGACAGGGAAAGCAGUUCAGCUUCUAAUAGUCCAUUGACUUGGACAAAAUUUUCAUUAAUGUGACCUCAAAUCAGGUAGGACUACCCGCUGAACUUAAGCAUAU